GUGCAGCAGGCGAGAAUUUUUCUCAAUGGGGGCAACCCUGAAGGAGCGACGCCGCGUGGAGGAUGAAGGCUUUCGGGUUGUAAACUCCUGUCAUUUGAGAACAAGUGUGGGCAAGUAACUACUGCCUACUUGAUAGUAUCAGAAGAGGAAGAGACGGCUAACUCUGUGCCAGCAGCCGCGGUAAUACAGAGGUCUCAAGCGUUGUUCGGAUUCAUUGGGCGUAAAGGGUGCGUAGGUGGCGCGCUAAGUCAGGUGUGAAAUCUCGGGGCUUAACUCCGAAACUGCAUUUGAUACUGGCGUGCUUGAGGACUGGAGAGGACGACUGGAAUUCAUGGUGUAGCAGUGAAAUGCGUAGAGAUCAUGAGGAAGACCAGUGGCGAAGGCGGGUCUCUGGACAGUUCCUGACACUGAGGCACGAAGGCCAGGGGAGCAAACGGGAUUAGAUA
rnacentral:rRNA from 1 species